GCCAGACUCCUACGGGAGGCAGCAGUGGGGAAUAUUGCACAAUGGGGGAAACCCUGAUGCAGCGACGCCGCGUGAGCGAAGAAGUAUUUCGGUAUGUAAAGCUCUAUCAGCAGGGAAGAAAAAAAUGACGGUACCUGAGUAAGAAGCACCGGCUAAAUACGUGCCAGCAGCCGCGGUAAUACGUAUGGUGCAAGCGUUAUCCGGAUUUACUGGGUGUAAAGGGAGCGUAGGCGGCGCGUUAAGUCUGAUGUGAAAACCCGAGGCUCAACCACGGGAGUGCAUUGGAAACUGGCGGGCUGGAGUGCCGGAGAGGUAAGCGGAAUUCCUAGUGUAGCGGUGAAAUGCGUAGAUAUUAGGAGGAACACCAGUGGCGAAGGCGGCUUACUGGACGGCAACUGACGCUGAGGCGCGAAAGCGUGGGGAGCAAACAGGAUUAGAUACCCCUGUA
rnacentral:rRNA from 1 species